UGUGUUUAGAGGGAAUAUACAGAUCUCCGAUGCUCGUUCAGCAGAAUUUCCCACAGUUUUCAAAUGACCUUGUUCAAGCGUGAACAUCGCAGCCUAAAAUACAGUAGUAUGGCUGGGGAUCUACAGUCCUGCAGAUACAGAGCAGGAGUGAAACGUUGCAGCGCUGAGGGGUACAGGGAUGAAAAUCAUGGUGAAUAUGGCUGCCAGCAAGAAGAGUUCUAUGAAAGGGGUUUUGAUCAUCCUGCUCCUGUCUCAAUUAAAAUGAUUCCAAGUAACACUAGCCCUCCAAAACGACCACGUUCUUCUUCCUCCUCUUCAGCCCUGCGGUGCAGCAAGCAACUGACCAAAAGCAGAUCAAGGAUCAGCUACUCCAGCUCUAGAGGACCUCACUUGAAGAUGGAGGAGCUGCAGUGUAUUAAGAGUGAGCUAAAGGUGAUAAAGAAUCAGAUCGAUGAGCUGCUGAACAGUCUGGAGCACAUGGACACGCAGAACAGCGACGCAUCUGGAGGUAGCCUGCCCCAUUCUCUGCUCAGCAGCUCUGUGAGCAGUAUGGAGGAGUCCUUUUGCAAUCCCCUGAAGUCCAGCAGAGCGUUCAGAGAAAGACAAAGCCUCGAGCACAGAAGAACAAGAGACGAGGAGAGACGGAUGAAACAAGAGUCAGAUUUUUAUUAUAUUUAAAGGGUUGAAAUCAGUAUGUCAUCCAGCACUUGGUAGCUGCCAAACAACAUCAGCUAGCUCAUUAGUGCGACUGUGUCCCUGUACACAAAGCAAGGACCAUAAAGACAUGGUUUGAAGAUUUUGGUGUGGAGGAACUUCAGCGGCCUGCACAAAGCCCUUAUCUUAACCUAACUGGACACCUUUGGGAUGAACUUUGAUUACGAGCCAGGUCUUCUUGUCCAACAUCAAGAACUGACCUUACAAAAGCUCUUUUGACUGAAUGGGCACAACUUCCCAAAUACACACUCCAAAAUGUUGCGGAAAGCCUUCCUAGAAGAGCGGAGAGCCGCAAAAUGGGGUUAACUCCAUAUUAAUGCCCAUGGUUUUAAAAUGGGAUGUCCAACAAACUCAUAGGUGUGAUGGUCAGUUGUCCACGCACUUUUGGCUGUAUAGCGCAUAACUACAUUUUGCUCAAAUGUUCUCUGAACAGUACAACAUAUGCCAUUUUUAAAAUUAACCUGAAAUUAUAAUUAACCUUUUUACCUUGUUAGUUGCGCAUGGCCGUAUUAAGUAAAAAUGAUCAUAUGUUGUUUUAAAGAAAGAAUAAUGUUUUCGUCAAUUUGUAACAACUUUCUCCUCUCUAAAAACAUAUUCUAAGUUUCGAUUACAUCACUGUGCCCUGGCAGGAGGGGAAAAAUAAAAGUAAACAGUAAUAUUGUGUUUCACCUCCCCCUCUUAUCAUUAAGUGGAAUGCUCAGCUAAUUCAGAGACUCUCCCUAGUACAUCAGAAAUAUAUCACAGUACAGAAGAAAAAUAUAUGAUUUCCAAUUUAUAGUGACUUUAAAUGAGAAUGCAGUAAAUUAAUUUAAUAAACUUGGUUAUUAAAAAGUAAUCCAAAAAUUGCAUGUGCUAUUCAUAAUCAGCAUCUGAAACCUGCUUCCACCUGAUGAUCUAAUUCAUAGAAUGUAGGCCAUAACAAAAGGUUUUGCUCUGAUGUUGGUGUAAUUUUAGGUUAUGUCAGCAGAUAUCAACAGAGGUGGCACUACAGAAGAGGUGUGUGUUUCAUUGUAGCUUCAGAUUUUACACCAUGGAAAAGUCUCCACUGCGUUUCAUCAUGAAUAUAGCUCCAUUAGAAUUAAGCCAUACCUCUAUGCAUUAAGCCUACUACUGAUCCACCAUUUGCUCUCUGGACUUUUCUUGCUGUCUGUCAUUCAUAUUUGUCCUGAUGUGAUCCAUUCUUGAUAAGCUGAGUUGGACUUACAGUAGCACAAACAAAGAUAAAAUUGAAUCCACUGCAUAAUCCCCUAAAGGAUCCUAUAAUGCCAUUUAGUGCCAUUGACACAGCGGUUGUCAAAAGAUAGAACAAAAUGAUCCCUUCAAUUUAGAAUCAGAGACCAUUGUAAACUAAGAGUCUACGAGCUGUGGAACAGCUGUCUAAACAAAACUACACAAACAGAAUUAGAUGUGCAUAUUAACAGAAUUUUCAUUAAGCCUCUGCAUAGGUUUAUAACCAAGACUUUUUCCAUGAUAUCACCUCAGUGGUAUGAUCACAAACAGUGAUAGCAACAGUGAUAUGAUAAGAUAAGCUAAUUAAAUCAUGUAGUUAGAGAACACAGUUCAGCCAGUAAGAUGAAUGUGUUAAAUGAACAGCUUGUAUUGUUGUUAGGCUGUAUAUACUCUUCAAAGCAAAGUAGUUAAAGUCACAUUCAGGAAUUUAUAAUGGUAUUUUGUGUCUAUUACAUUUAUUGUGUACUCAUUUAUUCCUGAUGAUUUAAUCCAUUUCUAAACCAAAACAGUGGUUUAUUUUAUUUUUCAAACAAUGUAAAUAUAUACAAACAUUUUAUUGUACUUAAAUUUUA